GCAUAUCAAUAAGCGGAGGAAAAGAAACCAACAGGGAUUGCCCUAGUAACGGCGAGUGAAGCGGCAACAGCUCAAAUUUGAAAGCUGGCUCCGGCCCGCAUUGUAAUUUGCAGAGGAUGCUUCUGGCAAGGUGCCUUCCGAGUUCCCUGGAACGGGACGCCACAGAGGGUGAGAGCCCCGUAUGGAUGGACACCAAGCCUGUGUGAAGCUCCUUCAACGAGUCGAGUAGUUUGGGAAUGCUGCUCAAAAUGGGAGGUAAAUCUCUUCUAAAGCUAAAUACCGGCCAGAGACCGAUAGCGCACAAGUAGAGUGAUCGAAAGAUGAAAAGCACCUUGAAAAGGGGGUUAAACAGUACGUGAAAUUGUUGAAAGGGAAGCGCUUGUGACCAGACUUGUGCCGGGCGGCUCAUCAGGGGUUCUCCCCUGUGCACUCCGCCCGGCUCAGGCCAGCAUCGGUUCUCGUGGGAGGAUAAGAACGGUGGGAACGUGGCCCCCUCUCGGGGGGGUGUUAUAGCCCACCGUACGAUACUCUCGUGGGGACCGAGGUUCGCGCUCCGCAAGGAUGCUGGCGUAAUGGUCAUCAGCGACCCGUCUUGAAACACGGACCAAGGAGUCGUCCAUUAGAGCGAGCGUUUGGGUGUAAAACCCGCACGCGUAAUGAAAGUGAACGCAGGUGAGAGCUUCGGCGCAUCAUCGACCGAUCCUGAUGUCUUCGGAUGGAUUUGAGUAAGAGUUUUAACGGACGGACCCGAAAGACAGUGAACUAUGCUUGUAUAGGGUGAAGCCAGAGGAAACUCUGGUGGAGGCUCGCAGCGGUUCUGACGUGCAAAUCGAUCGUCAAAUAUGAGCAUGGGGGCGAAAGACUAAUCGAACUGUCUAGUAGCUGGUUACCGMCGA
rnacentral:rRNA from 1 species